GGAUGUGAGGGCGAUUGGGCUGUGACAUCUGUCACCCAUCGGUCUCCAGGGUUGAUCUGGCUGACCCGGGUGUCCCCUUUUUCCCUUACCACUCCGUGUGCGCCCUUCCCAUCAUGUACUUGCUAAGCUCUGUCAGCUCCCUUUUGCGCCAGCAUGGAGUGUGAGGAGUGUGUGAAGCACUGGUCACAG
rnacentral:snRNA from 1 species